GCAGACCCUACGUCCUGUUUCAUCUAUACAAAGGUGAUGAACUCCCAGAGUCUCAGGAUCCACAGUUUGCAGGACGAGUCCAGUGGGACAAAGACGUCCUCACAGAAGGACGCCUCACACUUCAUGUCUCCAGACUCAGGACCAGUGACUCUGGGUUUUAUGUGUGCCAUACGCACACCUGAUGGGAGUAACUAUGCUGGCUCGACGUCACUGCUGCUCCUCAACCAGAGAGCUGGAGAAACAACUGGAUCAACGUUAGACUGACACUGCUUUAUUUCUUUGCUGUUGUUUUUGUUUCUUUUGUUUCUUUUUCUAAUUAUUGCUUUUGUAAUUUUUUCAAUUCUUCUUUUGUUUCUAUUUGUGUUUGUUUUCUUGUUCCUAUUUUUGUUUCUUCUUUUUGUACUGCAUUAUUUUGUAUGCAUAGACAUGACACUUAAUAAACAAAACAGUAAAAAGAAAGUAAGAAGAAUAGAAAAUAGAAACACAGCCCAAAUGAUAUUCAAGUGUCCUCAUCCUCCAUCAUGUUGUAGACCAGUAUGCUCCAGGAAGUCCUACAAGGUUUUCCAGCUAGUUUGUUUUGAAGGAAAACACGUAUCCUUUCAAGAGCAAGGUAGAAAGUCCUCCCUUUCAGCCGUUGAGGAAAUCCACAGGUUGAUGGUUCCUUCCAUGUGUGAUUUUUACACUCAGAGCAGAACAAAAUAACAUCAUCCGCGUACAAAGCUAUUCUGUUUUCUACACCUCCUAUAUUUAUUCCCGUUAUAAUGGCGUGUUUACGGAUUGCCAUCGCUAGUGGCUCAAUGGCCGGUGUGAAUAGGAGAGGAGAGAGGGGACUGCCUUGUUCCUCGCUUGAGUUUAACGGGAGAUGACACAAGUCCAUUUGUUAGGAUGUCAGCUUGUGGGUUGGAGUAUAGGAGUCGUACGCAACUUAAAAAUCUACCCCCAGUACAAUUCCAGUCAAAGAUCGUCUGUUUUAUUUUCAAGAGACACAUUUUUUUGUAUUUUUUUAAGACUGAAUUUUCUGAGUGAAUUUGAUUGUUAAACCAAAACAAAAACUAAGCACUUGAUGAUUUAAUGUAGGACUUGUAUCUGAUUCACCAGCACUUCCUAUGGUAUGUUCUGGCUUGAAGUGAAUAUAUCUGCUCCUUCCUUGUUGUUUGGAGUUUGAUUCUUUAUGGUUUUUGCACUUAUUGGAAGUCGCUUUGGAAAAAAGCAUCAGCUAAAUUAUAUGAAAUGUAUGUACAUAUUAAGCUGGCUCUUUUCUGCUGUAACAAUGUACAUUUCCCCUCUGUGGGACGAAUAAAGGGAUUCUGGUUCUGA